rnacentral:rRNA from 1 species
UGUGUUACAAGUGUCACACGGAACUGCCGGUCAUAAACCGGAGGAAGGUGGGAUGACGUCAAGUCAGCAUCGACCUUUAUAUCCUGGGCUACACACACGCUACAAUGGGAAGGGACAAUAGGUUGCGAAGCCGCGAGGCGGAGCCAAUCCAGACAAAACUUCCCCUCAGUUCAGAUUGCAGGCUGCAACUCGCCUGCAUGAAGUUGGAGUUGCUAGUAAACGCAGGUCAGCCAUACUGCGUUGAAUACGUUCCCGGGGCUU